rnacentral:rRNA from 1 species
UACAGAGGGUGCAAGCGUUGUUCGGAAUUACUGGGCGUAAAGCGCGUGUAGGCGGAUGGGCAAGUCUGCUGUGAAAGCUCCUGGCUUAACCGGGAGUGGUCGGUGGAAACUGCCAAUCUGGAGGACGGUAGAGGUAGGUAGAAUUCCCGGUGUAGUGGUGAAAUGCGUAGAGAUCGGGAGGAAUACCUGUGGCGAAGGCGGCCUACUGGGCCGGACCUGACGCUGAGACGCGAAGGCGUGGGGAGCGAACGGG